CUGGACAUUAAUUUCUACCGAAUUUUCUGGAGUUGGAAUAACCUUCAUAUUUAAUUCUGGAGACUGGGAAGCCCAGGAUACGGGUACCAGCUGAUCCGGUUCCUGUAUUGUGAGAAGACUCACACAGGCCUUGGAGAGGAUCACAUGGUGAGGAGGAACUGAGACCUGCCAAAAGCAGUGACCUUGGAAAGCAAUCCUUCCCACUGAACCCUGAGAUGCCUCCAGCCCCGUGCAACAGCCUGACUGAAUCUUCAUGAGAGACUCCAAGGAAGAAUCACCCAGCUAAGCCAUGGGGAACAGAAUAGGAAGAAACAUGAAGUGGCGAAACAUAUUGAGCAGUACAGAUGGCAGACCUCCAUGAUCAGUUUCAAUGCACAUUUGUAUGAUUUGAGAUGAAUCAGAUAUGGCAAUCC